CCGCUCGUAACUCAAUGGUAGAGUAGUCGGCUUUUAACCGAAACGUUGGGGGUUCGAAUCCCUCCGAGCGGA
rnacentral:tRNA from 1 species